AAUGAUGAAUACAGAGAGAUUUCUACUGGCUCGUAACAACUCCAGAAAAUUCUGUCUGGCCCUGUUCAUUAAGCUCCAACCUCCAUCCCCCUCCUUCCCCUGCUGACCCCCUUGUCUCCUCGGAGCUGCGCCGGGAGGCAACACAGCCGUCUCCACGUUUGUUCUCUUUUAAUGAAAAGGGGUAAGUUUUGUAAAGAGUGAGAAGUGUAAGAAACUGUGUUGACUACGAUACUAGUUCUUUUUGGAAUAUUCACGUGUCUACUGAAGCAGUGCCUUUCCUGGUGGCCCACAUCAACACCACAUUCCUGGAUUUCUUCUCUUCCCUCCUUAGAGCAGUCCUUCUCAGAGAGCAGGGUGUUCACCCUUCGGCACCCUAGGCCUGUACAACCUUCCCAGACCUCCCACCCCCUCUCAGCCAUCCCAUCUCCAGAACACUGGGGACACAGUGGUUCAGAUCUCAUUCAGUGGCACCAUCCUCUCUCGGUCACCUACCGUCUGCUGUGAGCUGCCCUGUACUCACCAGCAAGGGACAGCCAAGGCGUGGCAGAGCGACUUGGUGUAUAAUCGUUAUGUUCUUACAGUCGUGUUUUAAGCCUAUUAGUCCUUUUUUCAUAAAAAAAAAAAGUCCUUCCCAACAGCAAAAGAGAUAAAUGCUUGAAAUGAUGAAUGUGCUAAUCAGUCCGUCUGAUCACUGUAUAUUUUUCACAUCGAUAUACCACUACGUAUACCUCAUGAAUAUGUGCAAUUAUUUGUCAAUUUAAAAUAUUUAAAAAGAAUUAGAACCAUUCUGUACAUCGGUUCCUAAGCUGGGUUUUAAGAGGUGCUGUUUUUUCCCUCUCCUACACUUCUUUCUAUACAGAAUUUUGAGGCUGGUGGUACAUUGGUGUCCCCUGGUGACGCAAGCAUGAACUGCAGCUUGAACAUCCCUGAGCAAGACGGUGGGAGGGAGGGGCUGUGGCCCCAAACUCACCAGAGUUUGUUUUUUUUUGUUUUGUUCCAUGUUUUUGGUAUUGUGAAUAGUGCUGCAACAGACUGAGCUUUUUUUCCCCCCUUUUCCUCUUUUAUUAAUUCUAUUAACUAUUAAGACUAACUAGGAGCAGCUGUGGUUUCAGGCUGACAGGUCACAGACAAUCGACAGACAGAGCUUUCUAGAAGUCUGGAUGAAAACGGAGGCAUUCUCAGGAUACGGGAAUACAGAAGGCCACCAGACAGAUAGUCCAGCCUCUUACCAUGCUAAAGAGAAGGCUCUAUGUCAGAGAAAUAGAAAGAUCAUUUUUAUUUUUAUGCUUUGAAGCCUCUGGAUAAAUAGCAGGAAAUCUCGAUGAACAAAAAUGGAUCCGGGCUACCUGCCACCUUUGUAAAAUGCCCUUGUGUCUACUGUGGCCACUUUUCUACGUAAAUACAUUUGUGAUCACACUUGAAAUUGCAACAUAAUUUAAAUAUUUCAUAUAGACACAGUGUUUCAUCAUAGGAUGCCCCAAACUUUAUUUCACCAGCACCCUUGUGGUGAAAGCUUAAUGUUCUAACCAUGCUGUCCAUGACAAACAAUAUUACACUGAACACCCUUGUUUAUGUAUGCGAGUAUCUUGUAAAGCAUUUCUUUAUGAGUUCUUGGGAGUGUUCCUUUAAAACUCUGGAAAGCAUAAGAUUUUAUAGAGGUAAUAAAUUCAAAAUACUAUUACUACUUUAUAUCUCUAACACUCCAGUAUGAGUCACUUUCCUUACACAUUUAAAAUAAUGGGAAUCAUGGCUGAUGCAAUAGGUAAAAGAUUGUUCUUCUUUUUUGUUCUCAUUGCAACUCGUGUUAAAAUACACCCCAGCAUAAAAACGAAAUGGACAAAAGUGAGACAGACACACCAAACAUCUAGCAGCUAGCAGGAUGAGGGAUUAGUCACGUAGCCCUGUGUUCUCAACAGCCGUAAAGUUUCUCCCCUAUAGUGGAGCAGAAAGCAGCUCCUGAAAACCAUUGCUGAACAACUACAGUCGGGCGUUUUCUCAACCGACUACAAUGGCCUGAUGCCAGCCUACCAACGCCCCCAACCUUGUGGACAGAGGCCCGGUCUUGAAAACAUUCUUUACUGAUAAAUAUCUGCAGACCUCCAGCCAGUUUCGGCCAGCUUGUAGAGACUGCCCAUGAGCUGUCUUUGUGCCCUUUAGUUCACCUUUUGACACAAAGAGCCAAAUUCCACUUCAUUCUAAUGCUGCGACUCCACCUUGAAGUGGAUAUGGAAUGUUGGCCACACAUAUGUUUACCCACUGCACAGGUGUCUGACUUCCCUCAUGAAUAUUCGCUGAUUUUCCCUAACCCUUCCUCAAUAUGUGUGUAGGGACUGACCCUGUCUCACACAGACACCAGCCCCCACUCCCUUCUGCAGAGCACGCUCGUCGAGGAUUUCCCUGGGAGCCGUGUACCCUAAUCUGCAGACUGUCUCUCCCUCUAAACUAAAGUCUUCUUUCCUUCCUUCGUACAUCUACAGUUUCUUUGUUGCCUUCUAGAAUUCCACCCUUUGGAUAUGACAUAAUCACUUUUCGCAAUCCCAGUUAUUCAGAGUGUUCUAGUAUUCCCUGUUAUCAACACGCCGUGGAAGGCAUUUUUUUUUUCAGUCUGUACACUACUGAAGAGUGCAGUUCCGGACACAGUGUUUGUGGCUGUUUGCACAGUAAGCUGAAUGUGUCUUCUGUGAGUCCAGGGAACUGUCUUGGGAGCGUUUUAAUAAUGUGAUAACAGAAACAGGCUGGGUUUGUGUUACGGGUUUGGUGUCACAUUUGAUCCUCCUAUCUAAAUUCAGGACCAAAAGUGAAAGAAAGGAAUUAUCAGGGUGGCAGUUUUUAUAACCAGAUCCUUAUCUACAUUCUUCCCUAUGUCCUGAAGAUGAACUUCUAAAAUGGAAUUGUUGGCGCAAAGAGUAUGCACCUGUGUGCCUUGCGCCCAGCAUGGUGCCAGACAUAUACUUGCUCUAAUAAAGCUCGGAGGUUGCUGGGUCCCACUUGUCCAUGUGAAGAUCGUCAUGCUGGUGUCUGAGUUCAUAUCAGGUGUCUGGAAAAGGCAAGUCCUGCAGAUCCGGUUGCGGUGGCUACUGAAACUUCUAGUCCAGAUGUGAAGGCAGCGGUCCUCAGGAGAUCCCCAGCACUGUCAUCCCCUGGUGGGAUAUGAUGCCUGGCUCAUGCGAGUUCAUAGAUCAGAACAGAAGCAUGUUGUAGAGUUGCACUUGCAAAGUUUGCAAAAUAUCCUGAAAGUAGAGAAGCUACUUUGAUCUCAGCGUUGGAAGAGUUUAUCGGGUGCGAUUUCAGCCUAUCCGCAGUUAUGUGCUUUGUAGUAGCCCUUGAGGCCCAUCUUAGAGACGCCUUCUUUGUCCUAAAGCAAUGGGUUGUCUUACUUGAGGAAAUAACUUGAUGUAUACCAUGAAUCUGAAAUAAAUUUACAUGUAUUUUUCUGACUGUAUAAAUAAAAAUCAGUGGUUCACGUCACCCCCAUCAGAUGAGUGUUGAAUUCUGAAGCCCCUUAGAAGGCGUUGUGAGACUGUAAUUUAGAUUCUUACCUGGUAGCCACGUUUUUAUCCGUUCCAUAGUGCAAUUUUGUAGAAUCCAGCACUUUUCCGAAUGUUAGUUUGAAAUGCCAGUUUACAUUUUUUUUCAGAAUUAGUGAUUGCCCAAAGUUUUGUUGUAACCCUGGAGGCCCAUAUUAGAGAUGGCUUAUUUUAUCAUAAACUAAUGAACUGUUCACUUGCGGAGGAAGCUGAUGUUUAACAUGCAUUUGCAAUAAACUUACAUAUGUUUUUCCGACUGCUUAAAUAAUA